GUGAGGAAUAUUGCGCAAUGGAGGCAACUCUGACGCAGCCAUGCCGCGUGCAGGAAGAAGGCGCUACGCGUUGUAAACUGCUUUUAACCGGGAAGAAACCCCAGGACGUGUCCUGGGUUGACGGUACCGGAGGAAUAAGCACCGGCUAACUUCGUGCCAGCAGCCGCGGUAAUACGAAGGGUGCAAGCGUUAUCCGGAUUCAUUGGGUUUAAAGGGUGCGUAGGCGGUGCGUUAAGUCAGUUGUGAAAUCCUGCAGCUUAACUGUAGACUUGCCAUUGAUACUGGCGCUCUUGAGUGCGCUUGAAGUGGGCGGAAUGUGCCGUGUAGCGGUGAAAUGCUUAGAUAUGGCACAGAACACCAAUUGCGAAGGCAGCUCACUAAGGCGAUACUGACGCUGAGGCACGAAAGCGUGGGGAUCGAACAGGAUUAGAAACCCGAGUAGUCC
rnacentral:rRNA from 1 species